rnacentral:rRNA from 1 species
GGUUAAGCGACUAAGCGUACACGGUGGAUGCCCUGGCAGUCAGAGGCGAUGAAGGACGUGCUAAUCUGCGAUAAGCGUCGGUAAGGUGAUAUGAACCGUUAUAACCGGCGAUUUCCGAAUGGGGAAACCCAGUGUGUUUCGACACACUAUCAUUAACUGAAUCCAUAGGUUAAUGAGGCGAACCGGGGGAACUGAAACAUCUAAGUACCCCGAGGAAAAGAAAUCAACCGAGAUUCCCCCAGUAGCGGCGAGCGAACGGGGAGCAGCCCAGAGCCUGAAUCAGUGUGUGUGUUAGUGGAAGCGUCUGGAAAGGCGCGCGAUACAGGGUGACAGCCCCGUACACAAAAAUGCACAUGCUGUGAGCUCGAUGAGUAGGGCGGGACACGUGGUAUCCUGUCUGAAUAUGGGGGGACCAUCCUCCAAGGCUAAAUACUCCUGACUGACCGAUAGUGAACCAGUACCGUGAGGGAAAGGCGAAAAGAACCCCGGCGAGGGGAGUGAAAAAGAACCUGAAACCGUGUACGUACAAGCAGUGGGAGCACGCUUAGGCGUGUGACUGCGUACCUUUUGUAUAAUGGGUCAGCGACUUAUAUUCUGUAGCAAGGUUAACCGAAUAGGGGAGCCGAAGGGAAACCGAGUCUUAACUGGGCGUUAAGUUGCAGGGUAUAGACCCGAAACCCGGUGAUCUAGCCAUGGGCAGGUUGAAGGUUGGGUAACACUAACUGGAGGACCGAACCGACUAAUGUUGAAAAAUUAGCGGAUGACUUGUGGCUGGGGGUGAAAGGCCAAUCAAACCGGGAGAUAGCUGGUUCUCCCCGAAAGCUAUUUAGGUAGCGCCUCGUGAAUUCAUCUCCGGGGGUAGAGCACUGUUUCGGCAAGGGGGUCAUCCCGACUUACCAACCCGAUGCAAACUGCGAAUACCGGAGAAUGUUAUCACGGGAGACACACGGCGGGUGCUAACGUCCGUCGUGAAGAGGGAAACAACCCAGACCGCCAGCUAAGGUCCCAAAGUCAUGGUUAAGUGGGAAACGAUGUGGGAAGGCCCAGACAGCCAGGAUGUUGGCUUAGAAGCAGCCAUCAUUUAAAGAAAGCGUAAUAGCUCACUGGUCGAGUCGGCCUGCGCGGAAGAUGUAACGGGGCUAAACCAUGCACCGAAGCUGCGGCAGCGACGUUUAUGCGUUGUUGGGUAGGGGAGCGUUCUGUAAGCCUGUGAAGGUGUGCUGUGAGGCAUGCUGGAGGUAUCAGAAGUGCGAAUGCUGACAUAAGUAACGAUAAAGCGGGUGAAAAGCCCGCUCGCCGGAAGACCAAGGGUUCCUGUCCAACGUUAAUCGGGGCAGGGUGAGUCGACCCCUAAGGCGAGGCCGAAAGGCGUAGUCGAUGGGAAACAGGUUAAUAUUCCUGUACUUGGUGUUACUGCGAAGGGGGGACGGAGAAGGCUAUGUUGGCCGGGCGACGGUUGUCCCGGUUUAAGCGUGUAGGCUGGUUUUCCAGGCAAAUCCGGAAAAUCAAGGCUGAGGCGUGAUGACGAAGCACUACGGUGCUGAAGCAACAAAUGCCCUGCUUCCAGGAAAAGCCUCUAAGCAUCAGGUAACAUCAAAUCGUACCCCAAACCGACACAGGUGGUCAGGUAGAGAAUACCAAGGCGCUUGAGAGAACUCGGGUGAAGGAACUAGGCAAAAUGGUGCCGUAACUUCGGGAGAAGGCACGCUGAUAUGUAGGUGAAGCGACUUGCUCGUGGAGCUGAAAUCAGUCGAAGAUACCAGCUGGCUGCAACUGUUUAUUAAAAACACAGCACUGUGCAAACACGAAAGUGGACGUAUACGGUGUGACGCCUGCCCGGUGCCGGAAGGUUAAUUGAUGGGGUCAGCGCAAGCGAAGCUCUUGAUCGAAGCCCCGGUAAACGGCGGCCGUAACUAUAACGGUCCUAAGGUAGCGAAAUUCCUUGUCGGGUAAGUUCCGACCUGCACGAAUGGCGUAAUGAUGGCCAGGCUGUCUCCACCCGAGACUCAGUGAAAUUGAACUCGCUGUGAAGAUGCAGUGUACCCGCGGCAAGACGGAAAGACCCCGUGAACCUUUACUAUAGCUUGACACUGAACAUUGAGCCUUGAUGUGUAGGAUAGGUGGGAGGCUUUGAAGUGUGGACGCCAGUCUGCAUGGAGCCGACCUUGAAAUACCACCCUUUAAUGUUUGAUGUUCUAACGUUGACCCGUAAUCCGGGUUGCGGACAGUGUCUGGUGGGUAGUUUGACUGGGGCGGUCUCCUCCUAAAGAGUAACGGAGGAGCACGAAGGUUGGCUAAUCCUGGUCGGACAUCAGGAGGUUAGUGCAAUGGCAUAAGCCAGCUUGACUGCGAGCGUGACGGCGCGAGCAGGUGCGAAAGCAGGUCAUAGUGAUCCGGUGGUUCUGAAUGGAAGGGCCAUCGCUCAACGGAUAAAAGGUACUCCGGGGAUAACAGGCUGAUACCGCCCAAGAGUUCAUAUCGACGGCGGUGUUUGGCACCUCGAUGUCGGCUCAUCACAUCCUGGGGCUGAAGUAGGUCCCAAGGGUAUGGCUGUUCGCCAUUUAAAGUGGUACGCGAGCUGGGUUUAGAACGUCGUGAGACAGUUCGGUCCCUAUCUGCCGUGGGCGCUGGAGAACUGAGGGGGGCUGCUCCUAGUACGAGAGGACCGGAGUGGACGCAUCACUGGUGUUCGGGUUGUCAUGCCAAUGGCACUGCCCGGUAGCUAAAUGCGGAAGAGAUAAGUGCUGAAAGCAUCUAAGCACGAAACUUGCCCCGAGAUGAGUUCUCCCUGACUCCUUGAGAGUCCUGAAGGAACGUUGAAGACGACGACGUUGAUAGGCCGGGUGUGUAAGCGCAGCGAUGCGUUGAGCUAACCGGUACUAAUGAACCGUGAGGCUUAACCUU